AUUGGACUUGCUGGGUCAUAUGGCAGUUCUAUGUUUCAACUUUUUGAGGAACUGUCAAAUUGUUUUCCACAGUGGCUGUACCAUUUUACAUUCCCACCAGCAAU
rnacentral:pre_miRNA from 1 species